CUGUCACCGGCUGCUGUCAGAGACAGGACGCAUGCCUUCAAUGACCAGGCAGGUUGGCUGCCCUAGGAACAGCCUGUCCCUGGCACAGCUCUGGAGUCUUCAGACAAUGUAAGAGAAAGGCCCUCUUUGUUUUGUCAAGGGCUGCAUAAGAGUCUCCAGGACACUGACUGGAGAUUUGCUAGAUUUUCUUCCUUUUACAAGAAGAAAAAGUGCAACCAUAAUGACUUGGUCACUUUGGAAACUCUGUGACCUAUGGUAAAAACCCAAACUUUCCUGCACCAUCAUGGGUUUGGAUUCAGAGGCGACAGUCUGGUGCACGCAAACACAGAUUUGGCAUCACUACCACAACCCUUCUGAAGUGAUAAUUUCUCCUGGACUUCUCUGACAUCUCUGUUCUUCACAGGCUCUCAAGAUUGAAUUGACACCCCUACCCUCCCUCACCAAUCCCCUGCAUUUUGGGACUCCAAAAAUAUGGCCUUCUGUAGACAAAACAAGCUGUUCCAUUGACAACAGAAUCUCCUGGCAUUGCAUGAGGAGUAGCAUUAGGGGAAGAGCCAGCACUGAUGAACCACCACUACUUUUAGACCAGCAAGUGCACAAGAUCCUGCCAUUCACAAAACCACAGUGGUGUCAGUAGAGCAAUGGAUGUUUCAGAUAUGGUAACCCAUGAACCAAGGCAAAAUUCUGCUGCAAAUAACACCUGCUGCAAAUACCAGCCUUAACUGGUAGCCAAGCUGCAUCCGAGGUAAUUUUUAAAGUGAGAGAGCUUUUUAUUAUUAUUAUUAUAUUAUUAUUUGACAAGACAAAAUAUACUGUACCAGUGAAAAUCCUACUCGAAAUAUCAAAGCAUCUACAAACAUGAACCUAAAAGAUAAAACGUGAUCCUCUUUUUCUAGUAUACCUGGCCAUCAACCUGACCAGCAUCAAUUUAUUGCCAUUCAGCAUUCCCAGAUACCUGAGUUGUUUGUGACUGCCUGUGGAUGACUUAUUUACUAUUGAACAGCAACUGAGCCAGAGAAACUCUGUUGAGUAUGAAGUGUUCCUUUCUCCUGUUUCUUGUAUUUGGCUGGGCAGGCUGCUCCUGGUCAAAGUUGCAGCACCACAAUGUAAUAAGGAUAUGGACCUCUUAAAGCAGGUCCAGAGGAGGCUGUAAAAAUGCUCAGAGGGCUGGAGCACCUCUCCUCUGAAGACAGGCUGAGAGAGUUGGAAUGGUUCCACUUGGAGAAGAGAAGGCUUCAGGGGAGGACUUCUAUCACCUUCCAGGACCUAAAGGGGCUACAAGGAGGAUGGGGAGGGACUUUUCACAAGAGGCCUAUAGUAAAGCAUAGGACAAGAGGGAAA